AUGUAGUGGGGAGGACAUAAUAUACGGGUCGGCUCAACUUGACCAAGCACCGGUCAGCAAAGGGUCAAGUUGACCUCUGCCCCGGUAGCUGAAUUCCUUUUCCUGCUGGCGUCCUCGAUUGAAACUUGCUGCUACGCACCUACUCCAAUACCACCUUGUCUGAUCCUGCUGUGUUUGUCCUAAGUUCAUUGUUUUGACCAAGGCUGCAGGUUUUUUGUGUACAUUAAACUUAUAAUAAGCCUCCUGA